rnacentral:rRNA from 1 species
ACGGAAGGCAGCAGUGGGGAAUAUUGCACAAUGGGGGAAACCCUGAUGCAGCGACGCCGCGUGAGUGAAGAAGUAUUUCGGUAUGUAAAGCUCUAUCAGCAGGAAAGAAAAUGACGGUACCUGACUAAGAAGCCCCGGCUAACUACGUGCCAGCAGCCGCGGUAAUACGUAGGGGGCAAGCGUUAUCCGGAUUUACUGGGUGUAAAGGGAGCGUAGACGGCUUUGCAAGUCUGAAGUGAAAGCCCGGGGCUCAACCCCGGAACUGCUUUGGAAACUGUAGAGCUAGAGUGCAGGAGAGGUAAGUGGAAUUCCUAGUGUAGCGGUGAAAUGCGAAGAUAUUAGGAGGAACACCAGUGGCGAAGGCGGCUUACUGGACUGUAACUGACGUUGAGGCUCGAAGGCGUGGGGAGCAAACAGGAUUAGAUACCCUGGUA